UUGGCUUCUCUUCCAAUAUGAAUAAAAGCAAUUUUCCAAGGUCUACGAAGGAUUUUGUAAACCCCCUUUGCAUCUACUUCCACCUCCACUCUUCUCAUUUCCAAGUCUGUCGUCAUGUGAAGGCCAUGGAGGACACCCCACAACUCAGCUUGCACUGGUUGGCAUCUUCUAAAAUUCGCUCGAAAACCCCCAAUCCACUCCCCAUUAUGGGUUCGAAGAAGACUUCCGCACCCAACCUUCAUUGUUCUUUCUUGUGAUGUGCCAUCAAUAUUCAAUUUAACCCACCCUUUUUGGGCGGGCUCCAAUGAUUCACUGGGCGGAGGAAACUUGGAUUGUGAACCUCUUCAUUUCGCCACUUCCAAAGUCAGUAGCAGAGGCAUUGUGAAAAAGAGAGCAAUAGCAUUUGGGUGUACUAAUUUGGCCCAGAUCCUACAUGCGCUAGGACAGUCUCGCAGCACGUGGAGGAUCGAUUCUUUCACUUAGGGACAAUUAUGAUAGUAAGAAGAAGUUUCCAUCAUUCUAGCUUUUCUAUCUGCUGUCAUCAGCCUUCCAUGAUUCAUGAGCCACAAAAAGGUACGCACUCUUUCUGGGCCUUUCCAUUUCCAUGUUGCUUUCCAAAUUUUGUUAUUUUCACCUUGCUAGCUAGUUAGGCUCUUGUAUGCAGUUGCAAUAGA